GAGAGAGAGACAUGCGCGCAUAUCAAUAAGCGGAGGAAAAGAAACUAACUAAGGAUUCCCUCAGUAACGGCGAGUGAAGCGGGAAGAGCUCAAAUUUGAAAUCUUCAAGGUUUUACCUUGACGAAUUGUAGUUUAAAGAAGUGUUUUCUGCUGAAGUUUUGGUAAAGUUCUUUGGAAUAGGACAUCAUAGAGGGUGAGAAUCCCGUAUUUGACCAUUAUUUUCAGCUUUGUGAUACACUUUCAAAGAGUCGGAUUGUUUGGGAAUGCAGUCCAAAAUGGGUGGUAAAUUUCAUCUAAAGCUAAAUAUUGGCGAGAGACCGAUAGCGAACAAGUACCGUGAGGGAAAGAUGAAAAGAACUUUGAAAAGAGGAGUUAAACAGUACGUGAAAUUGUCAAAAGGGAAGCGUUUGACACCAGUGUCGUUUUCUCGAAAAUCAAUUAAAAAUGGCUCGAUUUUGUAUUGUUGAGACCUUAAAAGCUCACUGUACAUUUUUCGUGUCUUUUUUAAUGCACUUUUCGUUUAACAAGUCAACAUCAGUUUCUUUUGUUGUAAAAGGGUCAUUGGAAGGUGGCUUUCUUUUCGGAGAAAGUGUUUAUAGCCUUUGGCCUCUGCAAUCGAAGAGACUGAGGUCUGCAGCGUAGACUCUUCGGGGUUAGAUACAUUUGUGCUAAGUUAUAGCUUUUUAUAGACAACUUGUUGACUAUGAUUAGUCAUUGUAGCUUGCUCGCUUAUGCUAUUUUACCUACGCUUAGGAUGUUGAAGUCAUCGUAUCGCGC
rnacentral:rRNA from 1 species